GUCAAGCUUCGCUGUAUAAUCGUGAAACAUUUAUCGACUUUAAUCACCUCACGAAUUGUAACGAAAGAACAAAAAGGAAAAAAAAGAAAGUAAAAACAAAGACCAAAUUUUCUACUUUUUGAACUGUUAUAAUUAAUCGGGUAUUACAUUGCACUGCUCCAUUGAGCUAUGAGAAUUUUCUAUUUGCAUUAUAAUAUGCAUAACAUGAAAUAUAUAAAAGAGAGAAAGAGAGAGGACAUUAAAUUUGUGAUUCACUUAUAAAAUCAGAGCAGCUUGACAUGUAUAAUAAUUAAAAUUCGAGAUAUAUGAAUUAAUAGAAAAUGAUUAAUAAGAUAAAAAAAAAACUCUAUGUAAUAAAAUACAGCUAUUACAGCUGUUUGGCCCAUGGCAUAUCUUAAAAAUUAAAAUAUAUAAUUAAAUUUUUUUAAGUCAUUACAAAUUUAAUAAAUACUAUGAAUAAUUAA